GUAACAAGGUAACCGUAGGGGAACCUGCGGUUGGAUCACCUCCUUACCUAAAAUGGAACGACUGCAAGUGUUCACACAGAUUGUUUGGUAGAUUGUAUGAAUGAAACAUAUGGCAAAGUGGAGAGCAUCUUUACAUGUUGUCCCCAUCGUCUAGAGGCCUAGGACAUCGCCCUUUCACGGCGGUAACCGGGGUUCGAAUCCCCGUGGGGACGCCAUUUAAAGAUGACUUUUGUUGUCUUUAUUGUUCUUUAAAAAAUUGCGGGGUUCGAAUCCCC
rnacentral:misc_RNA from 1 species